AGCUGGCGUCUUCGGCGUCCGCGUUGUAAUCUCGAGACGUGUUUUCCGUGCGGCUCUAUGGACAAGUCCCUUGGAACAGGGCAUCGUAGAGGGUGAAAAUCCCGUACUUGCCAUGGAAGUACCGUGCUUUGUGAUACACGCUCCAAGAGUCGAGUAGUUUGGGAUUGCUGCUCAAAGUGGGUGGUAGACUCCAUCUAAAGCUAAAUAUCGGGGAGAGACCGAUAGCGAACAAGUACCGUGAGGGAAAGAUGAAAAGCACUUUGGAAAGAGAGUUAAAAGUACGUGAAAUUGUCGAAAGGGAAGCACUUGAAGUCAGCCAUGCUGCUUGAGACUCAGCCUGGCUUUUGCUUGGUGUAUUUCUCGGUAGCAAGCCAGCAUUGGUUUGUGUCGUCGGAGAAGCGUAUGGGGAAUGUGGCAUCCUCGGAUGUGUUAUAGCCCUGUGCAGGAUACGACGACGUAGACCAAGGAACGCAGUGUGCCCUCUGG
rnacentral:rRNA from 1 species